AUUUGCACAGUAAAUCUGCGGAUGGCUCAUUAAAUCCGGUGAUAACCUCCUUCGGUUGCAUCAAUGGGAGACCUGAUAGACUACGCUUUUCGGCAAUGCUCGGAUCCCUUGUGUCAGAUGGAUACCCGCACUAACUGAGUGGCUAAUACAUGUUUGCAGAUGCCCUUCCCAAGAGCAUUCUGGCAUUUGCCAAGCUCGGAUAGUUAUCCGACUGUAUCUCCACCAAGUCGAAGCUUGCCUUCCUUGACCGGAGGGGGAUUGGGCAGAGACAGAUUGAUACAAAGAUCAGUGCCUUUCAAAGGCAGUGUGUUUUGAUGAAUCAGAUCUGUGGCCUUGGGUUCUUUGAAGCAGUCAACUCCCUGCAUGAUGUUAUGGACUUCUGUCCUAUCAGCUUGUGAAUGUGAUUUCGUGGAUCACACUGGCAGUCACGGGUAACGGAGGAUUAUGGUUCGAUUCCGGAGAGGGAGCCUGAGAAACGGCUGCCACUGCUAAGGCAGGCAGCAGGCGCGCAAAUUGCCCAUUUCCGAUACCUCUUCGAGAGGCAGCAACGAGACAUGGCGGCAUCCCCAGUCAAAGGCUGGGGUUGUUUGCAAUGGACGCAACUCAAACCCGUCGCUGAGUAUCAACUGGAGGGAAAGUCUGGUGCCAGCAGCCGCGGUAAUUCCAGCUCCAGUAGCGUAUACUAAUGUUGUUGCUGUUGAAACGCUCGUAGUCGAUGGUCAAGAGGAUCGUACCACUGAGACUGGGAACUUGUUCCUAUCGGUAAGUGUCCAGACUUCGCGUUUGGCCUCUCAGACAUGGUCCUCUCUAAACAGUGGCAUGGGAAAGGUGGCCCAUAUGGUGAUCGCUGUUCACAGCGAUAGGAGGCUCACCCAUAACGAAGGUGCGCCUGUAUCAGGAAUCUUUUCCUGGUAUUGAUCCCUCCUCUGCGAGAUGCUGGGCUGCCCAUCAACGGUGACAUGAACAAAGCAGCUUGUCCAAAGUGGUCGACCUUCAGAAUGAUGAUUCAAGAUGGCAUGUCUCAGCAUGAUACACCAACGGAACGAUCAGCAGGCUUCAUUUCUACUGAACUUCUACGCUCAAUGAGCAACGAAAUCGCUUGGCUGUAAAGGUGGUUCACUACCGGCAUGGCUGAGCACCAAGGUUUCUUGGGAAUGCUGGAAGGCUCAUGGGGCUGAAUGUACUGCCCAACGAGAGGUGAAAUUCUUAGACUUGGGCAAGACAAACUGCAGCAAAGGCUUUGAGCAACUCUGCCUUCGACGAUCAAGAACGAAAGUGUGGGGAUCGAAGAUGAUCAGAUACCGUCGUAGUCCAUACUGUAAACGGUGCCAGCUUGGUUAUGGGAGAGAAAAUCUCCUACAGACUCUUUCGGAGCCUGUCCAUUCAUCGAGAAAUCCAAGCCAUUGGGUUCAGGGGGAAGUACCGUCGCAAGGCUGAAACUUAAAGGAAUUGACGGAAUGACACCACCAGGCGUGGAGUAUGCGGCUCAAUUUGACCCAACACGGGGAACGUUACCAGGUCCGGAUGUCGAAAGGAUGGACAGACUAAAGCUCUGUCUUGAUAUUGCAGACGGUGGUGCAUGGCCGCUGCUGGUUGGUGGGGUGACUUGUCUGGUUGAUUCCGAUAACGAGCGAGAACUCUGCCCUCUGAUAGCCCCCAGUCUCGACUCAGUAGGGUUAUCUGGGUACAAACUGCUCUCUUCGGAGGGUAGCUCCCACAGAUGCCUGAGAGCUCUGGGCAAGCUUUCCUUUGAUCAGUAUUUGGGACUCUGUGCGCUCAUCAAGCACAUGGCAAGUAGAGUCGACAGCAGGUCUGUGAUGCUCCUAGAUGUCCUGGGCCGCACGCGCACCACACUGAGAUGCCCAAUGUGUAAUGCCUUUCCGAGGUCCCUUGCCAUCAUAACUGGUUGGGAAAUCACUCAGAGCAUGAUACCUACGUGCUUGGGAUUGUCGAUUGCAACUGUCUGCCAUGAACGAGGAAUGCCUAGUAGGCGCAGGUCAUCAGCCUGCACCGAUUAUGUCCCUGCCAUUUGUACACACCGCCCGUCGUUGCUACUGAUGAGGUUAAUACAGAGGCCUUCAGAGGAUUCAUUUGGUGCUUGCACCAUCUUGUUGGUCCGAACUUGGCCUAUGUCUUCAUCUUAGAGGCU
rnacentral:rRNA from 1 species